rnacentral:misc_RNA from 1 species
GGAAGUAAAAGUAACAAGGUUUCCGUAGGUGAACCUGCGGAGGGAUCAUUAAUGUGUUUGGGCCUCACGGCUCUUCAUUCCGACGCUGUGCGCCUUCGGGCUGCACGCUGAGGGAGCAUAUAUCCACCCCUGUGCACACACACGGUGGCGAGCUGGGUAACGGCUCGCCGCUGAUCUUUACACACGUCUAAAAGUCAUUGUAUGUUUAUUUGAGAUAAAAACACAACUUUCAGCAACGGAUCUCUUGGCUCUC